GAAGGGAGGAGGUGAUGGGAACCAAGCCUGCUCAGUCACGCUGAUUUAGGAACGUGUGGGAAUGUUUGUUCCUGCAGGGUUGUCUGGUGGAGGACUUCUAAGCCGGGAGGCGAUGACCAGAAACAGGACCUACCCAGCCACGCUAAUUGGUGAGCUAACGAGCUCCAGGAGCCACUUCCAGGAAGGACGAACCUCGCAGCUGCUCUCUACUUGUGUGCGUACUUGUGGGCACCGAGAGCGUGGUGCGUGUGCCUGCACUCGUCUCUCUUCACCUCGCCGAGCGUCACUCAUCGAGGGAGUGAGCGGCGCUUCCUGAUGGGGAACGUGAAGCAGAGAGAGAUGCAGCUCCGGAGCCAGAGCCUGUCCGUGUGUCCCUCUUCCCAGCUGGGUGUGAACACAGCAGUCCCUCUUGCUCCUCAAUCUUGCCCCUGCAAUCCAGCAUAGGGCCGGUUCCCACUGGUGCCCCCUGCCCCACACGGGGCUGUAGGAGCUGGGAGGCACAUUAUUCCCCUCACUGCACUUGUGGGGAGAUCUCCUACAGCGGCUGUGGAGAACCGAUGGGAAAACCUUGAUAAUAAACGCUGCGAGCCGCAGGACUGAAGUUAUCAAAAAGUCAGUGCAGCUUUACUGCAUUUCAUGCCAAUUUAAUAAAAUCUGCUUUCCAUCUAC